rnacentral:lncRNA from 1 species
UAUAAUAAAAACAAUCUAAACUCAAUUCAUAUACAUCACUUAAUUAUUAAAACAUGUCGGUAGAUACCUACUGCAUAUACAGAUACCUACUGCUGACAAAAACAUGUUUUCUAAUCUGCACUAAUACAUGGUAAAAGAAAUAACCAACCUUGAAAAGCAAAUGACGAGAGAAAGUAAAGACGAGUGAAGGGGAGAAAGCGAUGGACAAGAGAAAGCGAAGCUGCCAAAAAACAUUCAUAUAUCACUACUGCAUACAAUUUUUAGAACAAAUAAAAUAAUAAAAAAAAAACUCAAAUCAAAAUCAUACAUUUUUGAGCUGAUGUUUAAACGAUACUGGUCUGCAAAAGAUACUGGUCUGCAAAAGAAAAAUCCGUGCGACAAAAACACACAUAAACAUUCAUCAGAUAUUAUCAACAUAGAAUCUAGACAUUACAUACAAAUAUAGACAAACAAAAGAAUUUUUAGAAAGGUGCAAAAAUGUAGGAGGAUAUACCAGUAAGAAUCAUGAACAAUGUGAUACAGUAUAGGAACAACUACUACCAUGUUGCUACCAAACACUAUGUGCAAAUAUAACAAGAAAAAAAUCUGAGUACAAUUUAAACUUGCUCGGUUAUUCCAUUCUUUGCUGAAUAAGAAAUUAAGCAGGUAGAGAUAUACAUACAGUAACACUAUUAUAUUGGUCAUUGGUGUACGUAAGUGUAGUUGUAUCAAAAUCAAACCAUCAUUCUAGUAUAUAUUAUAGUAGCAGUAGCAGUAGCAGUAGUGGAUUAAAAUAUCUGACGAUUUAUCUAUCUAUCGCAGUACACGGGACAUUUCUGGGCAGUAAUGAACAUUUGUAUUACAUAUGAUGAAAAAAGAUGUUCUCUUGGAUUUUUAUAGUCUCCCUCAUUUGUGCUAAUGAGUCUGGCUGAUUUGUCUGUCAAUCAAUUCACACUGUAAUUUUUUUUCAGUACGUGCUCCUAAAGGUAAGUUGUUUUUUCGCACUUUUGAAUCACAUGUUGAUGUUCUUGUGGAGAGCAACAAUGCACCAAGCUGUCAGUGGUCUAGUAACUGUGCUCGUAAAUUAUUUAAAAGAUUUGUAUAGCCUUCCAAGGUGCUUUUUGCUACCAAUUUAGCUACACACCCCCUCAUUGCCAAUUCCUUUUUCAGUAUAAUUUCAAAUUUAACAUACACCAAUACAUAUAGCUGGAUUGCUACUGUUGAUGAUAAAUUUAGUAGCAAGACCAUCAAUAAUUCUAGUACUUAUUACUAACUACCUUUCACACCAAAACCUAGUUAUCUGCCUAAUCUGAUAAUUUAGGAACUUUAGUUGCAUUACCUCUCAUCAUCUGCAGAAUCCAAAUACAGUAAAUGUUAGGGUCCUGAUCCUGCAAAAAAAUGAAUGAAAUUUCUAAGUUAACAUCAUCAGAACAAAGAGCAUGUCUUGUAAAAGUGUUUAACCUGCCUUAUUGAAAGUAAUUCAAUCACUUCAAUUAUUGCAAAGACGCAAGCAAAUAUCUACCUGACUAACAUUAAUAUAUGUAUAUAUACUCUCAAGAGUCGAGAGUCAAGACUACUACUACAAUGCACACUACACAUUAACACACUCAAUGAUUCAACAACCAAUUACUCUUCCCUCCAACCAGUCAGUUCUAGAUUUCUAGCUCCCAUGUAUGUCAGUUUCUCCCUCAACAUCCCCGCUAUCCAGUAAAAAAUAAUAUGAUGAAUGAGCACAAUAAGACAGCACAACUACAUCAAAAAGAGCACGUGAAAACCACCAAUAUGAUAAACAGGAAAGACAACUUCCACAAUUUGGCCUAAUUUGAGUGUACUUAAGCACAUCAACGUUCAUAGCACUGUGGAAGAUGAUCACAACCAUUAAAAUAAUCUUCUGUUUAAAAUUCAAGGAUGGUUUCAAAUAAGACCAACCACAACUAAUCAAUGUCAGCAAGAUAGCAAAAGGAACUUCACUAAACAAAACUCCCCCGUAAGCUAAAGUGGUAACGAAAAAGCCUUGUGAGUAGCCAAAGUGUUUGAUGAAAAUAUUCCGAACUAGCCCAGUUAAAUGACUCAACACUUUGAUGAUCAAAACUACAAGUAUAGCAAUGUGAAUGCGCAAAAGUUGAUUCCCUUUCAGUUUGAUAUAAUAAACAUGAAUAUUCCAAAGCGAAAAGAAAAUCAAACACAUAUAAAUCAUUAAACACAAAGUGAAUCCUAGGAAGUAAAACCUUGGUCCCGGAUAAAUAAUUCCUCUUAUCAAAUUCAAGAUCAUACAUAGAGCUUUUUACAACCAUGGAAAACCGAAACUCCUUGUUAGAAAGAUAAUUAAUGAAAUAAAGACUGUAGAGUUCUUGUUGUUGUUUUUCUUCUUUAUCUUCAUUGGAGAAAACGAAAUCAAAGUUUUUGGUACCAUUGAUGAGUUUAUGAAAAGAGAAACCUGCUAUAGACUUUUCAAUAAUACUAUAAUCAUCAUAUCUAGUAAAGAGAAAGAAACCAACUGUAGAGAAAUUCAAGUUGAGAUUUGAAUUGGAAAGAUAGAUAUCAGAAACAUUAAUUUCUAUACGACCUCAUUUUCCUCCAUUAGUGAAUUGAAAAGAAUCAAUGAAUAAUAUACUUUAAACAGAAACAUUAUUGUUAAAUAUACUUUAAACAGAUAUCAAUUGAAAAGAAUCAAUGAAUAAUAGAUAUCAGAAACAUUAUUGUUAAAUAUAUUUGAAUUCAUAUCAUAUACACGAAUCUCUGCAAAUGUAAACGUGAAUUGCAUGCAAUUGGAGUGAUUUUAAACAGAAUCUAGGGUUAGGGUUAUAGUCGAUAAUGAUAUAUCAGAAAACCCCAAUCUAGGGUUAGGUUUUUCGAAAAAAAAUUCAAAAUUUUCGAUUCAAACAACAAGUAGAAAACAACAAGUAAAGAAAGAACAACAACAACAACCAAAUCAAACAAAGAAGAGAAGAAGAAGAUGAAGAAGAAGAAGAAGAAGAAGAAGAAGAAGAAAUCUGUUUGAAAAAUACUAACCUCAAAACUUCGAAAAAGUAUAAAGAAGAAGAAGAAGAUGAAUAAUAUGAAGAAGAUAAACAAGAAGAAGGAGAAAUAUACCUGUUUUAGGGUUCGAAAUCGGUGUCGCCAGGUUAAUCGCCUCUACUGCGCCGCCAUCACCUGUUCUAGGGUUUUUUCUUGUUUAAGCUUGGUUGUUUUUGGCAAAGAUGUAAUAUAUACUUGGCAAAUUGUAGAGGGUUAAGUGGCAAAGCAAAUUUUGCCUGGGGGGUACCCAAGCAAA